CGGAAGGGGACUAGGCUGGACUGCAAGGGGACAGGCUAGGGCACAGAGAAUGAGGCCUGGGGAGAAGGGGUGGAGACGGGCGAGGCCUGGAAACCUGAGAGCUUCCGGAGAGGACUAAAGGAGACGCGGGGUUAAAGGAGGGCCUAGUUAGACGGGGUCGGCCAGGGAGUAUGAGGGUCUGGAUGAAUGGGGCGGAACGAGGCAGGCGGGCGGGGUCUACAAACGGUAGAAAACUGGGAAAGCGAGCUAAGGGAGGAACGGGGCUUUGUGGGGCGGUGCAGAGUAAGCAAGCGUCCCGGAUGGAACGGGAGAGGCGAGACCUGCAGAAGGUACACAGCCACUGGGCUGGACGGAGUGGGAGAGAGCUCUGGGGCCUUACGGGCCCGGGCGAGGAUGUGCAACUGGUGGAGAAAGGAGACGAAACCUAGAGAACGGAGGACCAACGGUCUCCAAGACCCUCAAACCUCUGAUGGAGCCUAGGAUUGCAGAAAGAAACAAAAAACCCCAAACAACGGAACUUCCUACUCCUCUCAGCUCUAAAUUCUGGUUUACCCCCAGGCAGGACCUGUGUCUGAGACCAGGGGACACCGGACUCGAUUUUCGGCAACGGAAAACCGGAGGGGUGAUGCCAUUGUCUGUCCCGUCCGCAGACCCUGCCUGCCUCCACUCCUGCCCAAUCUAGCCUUUUCCAGGCCCACAUGGCACCAAAUCCCGAUCGAAGGUUGGGAAACCCUUUACCGACUUCAGCCACCACCACCCCCAUGCCACCUGUCGCUGCCGUCGCGAUUUGUCGCCUCCCACGAAUGUUGUGGCUGCGCCCGCCCCCGACAGGGCGUGGAAACGGCUUGGACUACAACUCUCGUGAUGCCCCGCGGCGCCGGGCGCCUUUGACCAGAGGCAGCUUAGGCGAGGGGCUUCAUGGGAUUCGUAGUAUAAGACUCCCGCACCACUGUGAACCCCAUAGAAGAGGGGCGAUACCCUUCCCCUCCCUCUUCUUCGACUCGGGGGGUGCGGACACGAAUGUUUCUCUCCAAAAAGCACACGUUUAAAAGAAGAAGGGACCCAGGUAGGUGCUUGGAAAUGGAAUUUUACUGGGUUGCGGGGCCCGAGCACGCAUGCGCCUGCCAAGCCGUCACCCGGAGAGCCGCGCCUGCGCAGACCCGCCCCCUCGCCGCCCCGCCCCGCGAGGCCGAGCACGCGCCAGCCCUACUCGCGCGCCUCCUUUCUUGUCCCGGCGGUCGAAGACGGCCACGUGGGCCCCCAGGAAGACGUCGCCGAGGAUCCACAGAGGCCCCGCGGGUGGAGGCAUGUCUAGAGCCUGGAAACCGGACAGGCAGACGCGGGCGCCUCCCCGAGCAAUCUGCAGGGGAACCAAGGAGGGCCUCUGGGUGUCGCGCCCACCGGGCCCGCCGCCUCCCGGGGACAAGAAGCAGGGUCUGCGGCCCCUGUCCUGUCUUGUCCUACGGCUGUUGCACCCCCAGCUCCACCCUCUCAAGCCCCAGCCACGCUACGCCACUCUGACGUCAUUGUGACGUCCACUUACCUGGAUAACAUAGUCCUGGGCCGUGAGGUUGAACCAGACUCCCCCAAAGAGGAGGGAGACUGUGGGGAGUUCUGGGAUUUUCGAGCACUGGAUGAGGUACUGGAGGAGAAGAGGAGCAAGUGAAAAUGGAGGAUUCCUGCAUUGCUCAGAUCCCUUCUGCGGUUCCUCAGGGCAAUUAGGAGCUAGGAAUUCAGAGCCAACUGCGGUCGAGUUCUGCCUUCUCCACUUCCUCACUCGUGUAUAAUUUUUUUCGCUUUUCCCCGCCAUAUAGUCAAACCCUCUUUUCCUUUCAUCUAAAUGUCAAUCAAAAACUCGUCUACACCUUGGGCCCUCAGGUGUACUAUAUUUGCCUUACAGUGUCUAAAAAGUACAGGUGUGUGUCCUGUGGGGCUUGCCUCCUGUGUUCAAAUCUUGGUUCUCCUACUUACCUGCUGUGCAACCUCAAUCAGGUUACUUAACCUAUCUGGGCCUCAGUUUCCACUCUGGGAGUGCAAAUGAUAUUAGUCCUUACCUUGUAGGGAUGUUGUGAUGCUUGGAAGAAUGCCUGACACAUCAUAGAUGCUAUUAUGGCUAUGUACAAAUCUGGAGCUUUCAAAUAAUGUUUUCAAGUUUCUGCAGCAAACCGCAUUUUUCCUUCAUGGCCAUAUUUGAUGGGCUGAGUAGCUGAGAAGUGCCUUUUUCAGGUAGAUGGGGCAUGUAAUUCCAGUUUGCCACAGCCCCCACCACUCCCAAGUACAUGACCAUAAAUACCAGGCUAUGAUUAAUAACUACUAAGAAACUUAUCUUCCUUGCAAUCAACAGUAAUCACCUCAUUGGGAAGGCAAGGAAUGGCGGGACCUCUGUUGAAUUAGAGUGCAUAAUUCUUUCUAAAGGAGGGAUGGUAACUUUGACAACAGAUCUGCAUGGCCCGGGAAGGUUUAGUGACUUGCCCAAGACCACACAGCUUGUAUUUGAGUCAGAGACUCAUGAACGGAGUGUUCUCUAGCACAGAGUUGUGGAAAUGCAGACCCGGAAGGGCCCCACUUCUCCCCGGAAACUGCCGUGGCCGGCGGAGGCACCCUGGGCAUCCUGUGAUGGAAGUUCCAUGGGCAGCUCUCAGCCUUAUGUUGCAUCAUGACCCAGUCCAUGCUGCUUGAAACAUUUUCACAGCUUCUGAGAUCCUACACUGUCCAGGUUCUGCUCCCGUACCUCUGGCUGCUCCUGCCCUGACUCCUCUUCCUUUCGGGGAGUGUCUCUGGGGGACUCCUGGGACCCCUUCUCUCUCCCUAGGAGUGCUCCCCCACCCCCAUUGCUCAUUUCCAUCUAAGGGCUGAUGGCCCUUAAAUAUGACCUGUGAAUUUUGCCCACUCCUCACCUCCCCGCAAGGCCUCUCACUCUCAUCUAGUCCUGAAUCAACCCGCAUCAUCUCCUUCCCAAAUCCUACCCUCAGCCCCCUACCCAGGCCACCAAAACUGACGACUCCUCUAGUUCCAUGUACUAUGCCCCUCAGGGCAGACCCUUGGGAGGUGUCCUUGCUUCUUCCCACUAACCCCUAGGCUGUCAUUCAUCUUCUGCCCUGGGACACCUCCCGGACACCUGCACCCCACCUUAGGGCCCUGCAUCCUGCCCAGUGUUCUCUCCCUCCCCAUCAAAGCCCCGGUGCCUCCCUUGGGAGAUGAGGCCCUCACCUCACCCACCAGCAGGGGCAAUCCCCCAAUGGCCCUCUGCAAGGCCCGGAUCUCCUCCUUGGGGCCCGUGAUGAGGGACGUGCCUGUGUCCAGGAUGGCUGCACAACCCCGGGCACAGAGAGUCAGCCCCGUGGCCACCUGCAUGCUGUGAGCGGAGGAUGCAGUCAUUGGAGCUGGAGUCCCAAGAGUCCAGGACUCCAGCCUCCUCCCUCAGACCCAAGAGUCCAGGCCCCCACCCCCCUCCCUCAGACCGGGACCCAGGACCCCUCACCGCUCCAUGUGGAUCUGCCAGUAGGCAGGGACCGUAACUGGCAUGAAGGUGAGGGGUGGGAUAUAGUGUGUGGGGUCUGAGCCCCCCAGCACCAGCUCUCCUCCAUCGGCCUCUUCGGGGUCCCUGCAGAGGCAAAGUGCUGUCCGCAUCACUGGCAUUCCCCCUGUCAGGCCUGAGGGGACCGGACUUCCUGCUAAUGGGGGUGGUUUCUGGAAUCUAAGCGGGCAGUGGAAUGCAGGCAGGAUUGGAAGCCAGGCGACAAGGGUAAUGGGGCUUUUUUGGUGGAAGGUGGAACUUUGGGGCAUUGAGAGCUUCCUGAAGUGGGGAGAGGACUUGUAGGCAGAACUUUGGGGGGCGAAUUUUCCUGAGCUGAA